rnacentral:rRNA from 1 species
UACGGAGGGUGCGAACGUUGCUCGGAAUCAUUGGGCGUAAAGCGCACGUAGGCGGCGGCGUAAGCGGGAUGUGAAAGCCCAGGGCUCAACCCUGGAAGUGCAUCCCGAACUGUGUCGCUUGAAUCUCGGAGGGGGACAGAGAAUUCCCGGUGUAGAGGUGAAAUGCGCAGAUAUCGGGAAGAACACCCGUGGCGAAGGCGGUUCUCUGGGACGGUACUGACGCUGAGACGCGAAAGCGUGGGGAGCGAACAGG